rnacentral:lncRNA from 1 species
GUAACACUGUGACAUCGGGUGCUGUGACAUAGGUGUCCUGGAGGCCCCCGGUGAUGUGUUGGGCAGACCUCACCACCCUCUGGAAAGCCCUGCAGUUGCAGGCGGUGCAGUUGCCGUACCAAGCGGUUAUACAACCUGACAGGAUGCUCUCAGUUGUGCACCUGUAAAAGUUUGUGAAGGUUUAAGGUGACAAGCCAAAUUUCUUCAGCUUCCUGAGGUUGAAGAGGCUCUGUUGCGCCUUCUCCAACACACUGUCUGUGUGAGUGGACCAUUUCAGAUUGUCAGUGAUGUGUAUGACGAGGAAAUUGAAUCUUUCACCUUCUCCACUGCGGUCCCGUCGAUGUGGAUAGGGGGGUGCUCCCUCCUGAAGUCCACGAUCAUCUCCUUUGUUUUGUUGACGUUGAGUGAGAGGUUAUUUUCCUGGCACCACACUAAGAACACCUUGUCACAACACAACUGAUUGGCUCAAACGCAUUAAGGAAAUAAAUGCCACAAAUGUUUUAAAAGGCACACACUUUUAAAAAGGCACACCUGUUAAUUGAAAUGCAUGCCAGGUGACUAUCUCAUGAAGCUGGUUGAAAGAAUGUCUAAAGCUGUCAUCAAGCAAAGGGUGGCUACUUUGAAGUUUCGAAAAUAGAAAAUAUAUUUUGAUUUGUUUAACACUUUUUUGUUACUACAUGAUUCCAUAUGUGUUAUUUUAUAGUUUUGAUGUGUUCACUAUUAUUCUACUGUAAAAAUAAAGAAAACCCUGGAAUGAGUAGGUGUGUCCAAACUUUUGACGGGUACUGUACGUAUAGGGCCCUGUAAACACUCACAGGGUAGCGCACACACAUAGGCUAACAGAACACAUAGGCUAAGAGAACACAUAGGCUAACAGAACACAUAGGCUAACAGAACACAUAGGCUAACAGAACACAGCCUAACAGAACACAUAGCCUAACAGAACACAUAGCCUAACAGAACACAUAGGCUAACAGAACACAUAGGCUAAGAGAACACAUAGCCUAACAGAACACAUAGGCUAACAGAACACAUAGGCUAACAGAACACAUAGGCUAACAGAACACAUAGGCUAAUAGAACACAUAGGCUAACAGAACACAUAGGCUAAGAGAACACAUAGGCUAAGAGAACACAUAGGGUAACAGAACACAUAGGCUAAUAGAACACAUAGGCUAACAGAACACAUAGGCUAAGAGAACACAUAGGCUAAGAGAACACAUAGGGUAACAGAACACAUAGGCUAAGAGAACACAUAGGCUAAGAGAACACAUAGGCUAACAGAACACAUAGGGUAACAGAACACAUAGGCUAAGAGAAGACAUAGGCUAACAGAACACAUAGGCUAAGAGAACACAUAGGCUAAAAGAACACAUAGGCUAAGAGAACACAUAGGCUAAAAGAACACAUAGGCUAAGAGAACACAUAGGCUAAGAGAACACAUAGGCUAAGAGAACACAUAGGCUAACAGAACACAUAGGCUAACAGAACACAUAGCCUAACAAAACACAUAGGCUAAGAGAACACAUAGGCUAAGAGAACACAUAGGCUAAGAGAACACAUAGGCUAACAGAACACAUAGGCUAACAGAACACAUAGCCUAACAGAACACAUAGGCUAAGAGAACACAUAGGCUAAGCGGGCACACACACACACACACACACACACACACACACACACACACACACACACACACACACACACACACACACACACACACACACACACACACACACACACACACACUCUGCCAGGGCUAGUGUGUCUUCCCUGAGUGGUGACACAGCAUAGUCAUGGUUCCUCUCAAUUCCAUUAUAAAGAAACAGAAAUGAUCACGAUAAGUCACUUCUCUUCAGUAAAAAAUGUUGCCAGCGUACAUUAUUCAUUGCUCUCCCCGGGAUUGUCUAAUUUCUAGAACUCAAUAAAUGUGUUAAACACAAAGAACCCCGGAGCCGUUGCAAUCCUCGCGAAUCCUUUGAAAAUUCCCUCAAAUUCAUCAAUUACAGAGUGUGCUAAUCUCAUUGAGAUUUGAAUGAAUGAGGAGGCCUCAUCAUAACUCAUCAAAUGAGGUAAUUUACUUCUUCUCUAGGAUUAGGGGGAAGAAAUAAUGGGCAAGCCCCACAGAGUGCCGAGUGGAAGCCUGGUGACUCUAAAGAUGACCUACUGUCCUAUCAGAGCUGGACAGACAGAUUCAAGGCCUAUGCCAGUGGUCACCGAUAUUGUUGUCCUGGAGAGCAACAGGUUGUGCAGCCUUUUUGUUCCAGCCCAGCACUAACAAACAAGUUAGCUAAUUAUCUCAUGGUGGAGAGGGUCUUGAGGAGUUGAAUCCGGUGUGUUAGCGCUGGGCUGAAGAAAAUACGGGAAAAAACCAUCCAUAACCCACUACAGUAGCUCUCCAGGGCCAGGGUUGGUCACCAUUAGUGGACAGCAUUACCACCUCCAGAUACAGCACAGGGCCUGUAUAGCCUAAGCCUGUUGACACGAAAUGGAGAAAAAGGUAAAUGGAAACUAAAGGAUGAUCAGUCAUC